rnacentral:rRNA from 1 species
AUCUAUGGCCAUACCACCCUGAAUUCACCAGAUCUCAUUUGAUUUCAGAAGCUAAGCAGGAUUGGGCCUGGUUGGUACUUGGAUGGAAGCUCAAAAGUCUAACUCUUUCCCUUUGGUCUAGGAACUUUAGUGA